GCCCGCAUGGCCUAAUGGCUAUGGCGUCCCACUCGUAGUAUUACAAUGGGGAGAUUCCUCGUUCGAUUCGGGGUGUGGGCA